AAGUGGAGGAGUAAGAGGCACAUUGAAUUUGGAAAUAUGACCACAGCAGCAGCAGUGCUCUGGAAAAAUUCAAGGAGUUAUUAAAAUCCUUAAAACGCAAUUGUUUAGAAAUUAGGCACAUAGUUUAAAAAUGACGUUUUGGCAAAGCUGGGUAACUUAGCCCUCCCAUCACAUAUUACAUUAAACCUCUGCCAGGUGUCCCAUUGGGAUGGCCAAUGCCCAGGAGAGUCCCAUGGUUGCCUCAAAACCCACCAAAUGGCCCCACAACAGCACUUCUAGCCACUGCUCACCAGCACUUGGGGACCACUUGGUGCUGGAUUCUCAAUUACUGGAAACAAAAGUGAGUUCCUGUCCAAGGUCUGGGUCCUUGGAAAGGGAGGUCUCCAAAGCAGACGAGCUUUCUCUCCCAUGAUAGUGCAAGCAUCCUAAACCGAGCUGCGUUGAGUUGCUUAAAGCUGAGCUGCUUCUCUCACGCUGGAGGAACAGAAGAACAUCUGGUCUUAGCUACUGUUUUUCAACUGGAUCAUCUUGUGCCUCACUAAAAUGAAUGAGAAACACAUGCAGGCUAUAUUUUCAAAAAGUUGUAUUUCAUUGAUGCAACUAAAGUAGUGAUUUUCACAUGCAAUUAGAUACACAGAUGUAGACAAGCAACAAUUUACACACACACUACAUCUCCAACGAGGCCCUACGUACAUUCCCAUAUGCUUUACACAUGCGAAAUAUGUGCAUGGUGAGGAGGCAUGGGAAAGUAUUUACAUGUGCAAUUGUAUCUUCCCACAGCAAUGCCUGGGAAUUAGAAAGCACUAACUUAGACAAUAUUUUGGAUGUAAAAUCUGAUGACACUUUCAAUUCUGUUCUGCAGGCCCCACUAUAAAUAACACUAAUUAUUAAUUAUGAUCUGCCUACAACAGCACUUCAGCAGGCACUUCAGCAGAUAGGCCAGAGACUGGGAGCUCAAAUCAGCCUCAUGUUCUUUUAUAUUCUAGAAGUGUUUUGGAAUAGACAUCAGUGUCCAGAGCCCAUUGGAAGCAUGCUGUAUGCAGGCGUCUCCCAGCGCUUGAUGAAGAGUGAAAAAAUGAAGAGUAAGGCAGAAGAGCCAAACCAACACAUUCAGGAGAUACAGGUUGGAGUGGUGGCUAACAUGCGUGAGGGUCACAGUGCUGAAGAGGAUCAGUGGAGGACACUGUGGGGGGGGCCUGGCUCAGAAACCAGGAGUCUGAUGUUGGAGAAGUGCAGUGAGUUGAGGAAUGGUGCUUCUGCUCUUCCCAGACACACCUAUAGGUCCCCUCAUGCAAUACCUGCUGCCUGCACACCCAGGACUUCUCCUUGGUAGCAAGGCCACGAGGCCAUAGGAACUGCUGCAGGAAGCCCAGUGGCCAGAGCAGCCACAAUGGGCUGUGCCAGAGUUUCCCGAUGUUACCGCUCUGUUCCGAUGAAACACUAUACGUAAAGAUAUAGGCAAAGCAUUAUGCUCACAGCCUUUGCCAACAAGUUAUGUUUUAAUGUAAUUUAACUGUAAUCUCAGAGUGUUUUUGUUAGCUAUAAUUAGUAAAAUAUGUCUGUUUUCUGUGUUCCUUGAAGACGUCUGAACUCCUGCCAGUUCCCUAUAGUUUUCCUGACAUGCAGUGUAACAAGCAGACCACCAAAAUGUAUUUACCAAUAACUGUUUAUUUACAUUCCAUGAAAUCUAAUAACAUUUGCUGCCUUCAUUCGGGAUAAAUGCUGGCCAAAGUGUAAAGCAUAAAAAAAUAAACAUUGACUUAAUUU
rnacentral:lncRNA from 7 species